UCCACUAAGAUUAUGUGAAGUGAACGAGUCUGGACAGGCAAAGUUAGGACAGAGCUUUGUACGUUACAAGAUGCGUCGAUCGUGAACACCCGACCCGAGGCCUUCUGCAGACACAAAAAUACUGAAUGAAGUACGCAGUGGCUGCAGUCCACUGUUGGUGGAUUCUGGGUUGGUUCCUCUAUGUCCAUCGGCUCCCCACACAUGCUGCCUGAGGCUACGGCGUGGGCAACUUCCUAGGCAUCCAACUUUUUGCGGUCCUCAUUGUAAUGCUGCCGUUUGGCGCAUAGGUGGCCCUUGCCAAAGGGCUCUCCGCAAUGAUAGCAGAUGUUUUGUCCCUUGGCCAUCUCCCGAACCCAUGUCAGCAUUUCCAUGUGGCUGCCUCGGCCACCAUAGGCGCCACCGUGACUGCCACUGUGGCCUCCGUAGCAGCCACCUCGGUUGUUGUGGUCAGCAUGGUUGCUGGAUCCACCCCGUUGGGUGUGGUUGCCGUGGCCGCCAAUCUGUCAGGGUUGGGGGGGGCAUCGUUAGUGCCUAAAAAGUUAAGUCGCGCAGUUUGCGCCUUGCCUGCCUCGUGGCGCGUUUGUGCACCUUGGGCAUAGUUAACUAAAGUGUCAAAUGCAAACCAGUUAUUGCCGUUGGCAUCCGUGGCGUGUUCCUGCCGCAGUUGCAGUGGCAUACCGUGAAUAAGCCAAGUGCAUAAGUCAAUUUGAGACAUGUUAGGGUCGCCACGUGUAAUUUCACGGAACCGUUGCAUGUAAUUCGGUAUGGACUCACCGGGUUUCAUUGUGUGUGCACCAGCAUGUAGUUGUGUUCGUACAUGGUGAGGGGUGCAACGGUGCAUGUCACCGAAAAACAACACGAAGUCGUCACACAUGCUCUGUAUUGUGAGUGUGCAGCCUUUGCGUGCGAAUAAGUCAUGGUACCACUCUGCAACUUUGCCUGUAACAUAAUAUGGUGCCUGGUCGCUGGCCUGUGCCAGCGGCACUGGUGCAGUGGCCGCCGGCGGUUCUGCAGCCGUUGGCUGCAUGUUGGGGCCUUCUGCUGCUGGUAUGAUGGGUUCGGACGGAGGAGGGGGAGGAGGAGGCGGUGUGGCGGCUUGGGCCUGAAUGUGCGCCUCUAUGCCUUCUAUUCUCCUCGACAGUUGAUCGAGUUUGUCCAGCAGCAGCUUAUUAAAGUCGUCAUCGUGCGGGGCUGCACCUGUUGGGUGUGCUGCAUGGUCCAUAGCGUCAGUUUGCGUGAUAAUACAUGCAACAUUUUGUUGCAGGGACCUAAGCACCAAUCGACAUGGUGGCAACCCCCCCUCAGGCGGGACGAGGUCAGCCGCAGUGGUGUUGUUAUGUUCACGCUCUUUGUGCAACUCACCCUGCCAUGUGCCGCAUUGCGGCUGGAGUGCGGCAGUGGGCAAAGUUACCCUGGUCGGCCCCGUGGCGACAGCCGUUGGCUGCGCAGUACGUGGGCAAGAUGGUCCUGGACCUGUUGGGUCGUGUGCUCCAUUGUUGUCGGCGUCCUGCACCGCAGUGGCUAAUCAUUCCCGCAGUUUGCGGUGUUUCUGCACACAAGAGAGUUCCUCAUUAGCUCCAUUAGGAAGCCUAGUGCAGAGCGAUAGUCUUGCUCGUCACAUAAUUGUCUGACUUUGUCAAACAUGUGCGACGGCGGUGUGAUGCCCCUACGCUGGGCACGCCUCACGUACUUUUCGUACAUUUCCUGGACCUUAUGUACCAGUUCCUUUGCUUUGGAAGGGCUCACCUGGCGCAGCUGAUAGCGCUCAUGGUCGGCCUCCGCCGACUGGGUGCGCAUGGUAUUCCGUGGGUUCGCCAUGAGGGAUAGGUAGAAAAUGUUUGAAAAACUAGAAUGUAUAUGCGGAAGCGAUGGAGUACUCGACUCCAAGGUCGUUUGACCGGUUGGUCUAAGAUACCAAAAUUGUAACAAAGAUCUGCAGUUGGCGAAGCAGUUACAAUGAGAAUUAUCCAACGAUAAAG
rnacentral:lncRNA from 1 species